AUGGUGGGCAGGGCUCUGCCGAGGCCAACAAAGCCUGUCUGGGGUGCUGACCAAACAUCACUGCCAGGAAUUCCACAGGGGUGGUGCAUGGGUGGGAAAUCACUCACCGUGUCUCUCUGGUCUCAAGCCCAACAGGCAGUGACAAUCCCCUGCACCAGUCCCAGAAGCACAACUUCAGGAGGGCAGUUCUGCAAAAGCAACAUGAUAUGGAGGACUUCAACACCCAAACAAUCUGAUCUUUCCAGGAAGGUUACAAGUUCACACAACCCAGCUUGUCCUUGUAAGGAAGUGCUCUUUGCGUUUUACAACUCAUGCCACAAACAUCACUGGCUCUAUUUUGUCUGAAGUUAUUUUCAGGUAUGUAUUGUUUGCUGAGGAAAUUGUCUCCUGGAUGUGAAUGAGGCAACUUUAGUUUAACACAGGCAGGACACGAGGCAGCCCUAGGGGGUCCAGAUUUGGCAGCGUGGCAUAGUAAGGAUGUGAGAUGAGUUGGGGAACUUACGUGGAUUGAAUAUUAUUUUAGGUAAUUCUGGAAGUGAAACUGGAAAGGCCUUGUCUCUGGGCACAGACACGCAAGCAAGUUGGAAGGACAUUUGAAACCAUCACACAAACUGCUCCGUUUCACACAAUGAAUGUUUGCAUUAGGAAUCAUUUUCCAGUUGGCGUGGCACAUGAGAGAAGCUGCUGUUCCUCUGAAGCUUGUUCCACACUCCAAACAAACCAGGCUCCGUGACGGCCUCCAGCCCGAGAGUAAGUCCUGUUUGUUUUAAAGGUCCUGUGACGUUCAGCCCUCAUUAUGAGAACUAAUGUCAUCCAUGUACACUGAUCAUGUGAUAGAGGGAAAGGUAUAAGUCAGUAGUACGAAGGAAUAUCAGAAUAUGUUGAGCCCUGAAGCAGCUACAACAGAUAUUUUUAUAUUAAGAUAAAAUAUAAGAUAUGUGACUACUUGCAUUUUAGCAUCUUCCAGCUCAUUGUUUUGGUUUUCUGCAGCUGUACUGUUUUAUUUCAGUCUCACUGCAGCAACAGGCAGCUGUUUUUAACACUAAAGACCCACUGUGCACUACAUCUCCAGCACCAAACAGCAGACACACAAAGUUAGCAACUAGCUGCUGUAACAAAUGGUGGUACAUGCUGCCAGGUAUUUCUCUCGAGAUUUGAAGUAGAGCAAAAUGAGCUGAGGGCAGUAAAUAUUUGACGUAAAUUCAUCAUCAAUAACACAGCUUAAGAAGAAUACGAAAGUUUCUCUGUCUGUUGGAUGGAAAGAUAGACAGCCAUGUUUGCCAUAUCACCUUAAAAAUAAUAGGAGCACCAUGUUUUGUUUACGGUUUGUUCUCCAGCCACUUUAACUUUUCAGUCCCAGAACAAUACAUUAAUGCACCUAAGCAGUUUUUUAAAGCUUGAGCCUUUUGCUGGUUUAAUGUAGAGAUAAAAGGCCUUUUCCAAACAUAACCACGUUUCCACUGAGUGAAUAUACCACAUACAAUGAGCAAAGGCAAAUAAAUAAACAUGACAUUCGUUUGUGGGGAGGAAUUUAUACGUUGGUGCACAUGAAAUGAACCCAUAUGGUUUGGUUUUGGGUUUGGCAUUGCUUGGCAAAGCACAGCAAAGCUUGUUAUGGGAAUCCAUUACAUUCCCAGUAGGGGUGCGGCUGCUGCACACACACUAUGGGCUGCUGCUGGAUGAAGAUGGGCAGGCUUAUGAAAGAAACUACAAGGUGAUAAGCAUCACUGCAGCAGCAGGUAAACUCAUCCACACAAACAGUUUGUAUAGAAAAAUUCACUUCAGGGUCAAAAAGAAUGCAAUAGCACAGUUUUGACAACCAUGUUUGUGCACAGUGGUGGUCGUUCUCCAUGUAAUAAGUACAUAUUACCACAAAUACAGCUAUAAAUUAAUAUAUGAAACUAACCACCAAUGAAUGUUUAAGUUUCAAUCAGUAUUCUCUGACAGAUGUCUAGUCCAUGUUUGCUUAAAUGUGGACAAUGAAUAGAAAUUUGAACUCCAUGACAACUAGAGACACUCCAUGCUGCGAUAUGAUUAAAACAAACCCAGAGCAAUUGUUUCUAAGUGCUAAGGGCAUGGCAGAAUAAACAAGCAUCUAAAAUACUUUCCAGUAUUUUUAUGCAGCUGAUAUUGUGUCAGUGCAGAGUA
ensembl:lncRNA